rnacentral:rRNA from 1 species
UACAGAGGUCUCAAGCGUUGUUCGGAUUCAUUGGGCGUAAAGGGUGCGUAGGCGGCGCGGUAAGUCGGGUGUGAAAUCUUGGAGCUUAACUCCGAAACUGCAUUCGAUACUGCCGUGCUUGAGGACUGGAGAGGAGACUGGAAUUUACGGUGUAGCGGUGAAAUGCGUAGAUAUCGUAAGGAAGACCAGUGGCGAAGGCGGGUCUCUGGACAGUUCCUGACGCUGAGGCACGAAGGCCAGGGGAGCGAAACGGG